UGAAGGCAGAAUGAGAACCAGUUAUGCUCUCUGAGUGCACCUAAAAUGGCAGAAUAUGAAGGGAGGAAUACGGGUGCCUGGUGUUGGACAUUAUCGUCCAAAACUCAACCUACAGGUAAGAAUUGAGAGCAUGCUCCAGUCCUCUGAGCCUCCACUUUUCACAUUGGUUAAGCAAUGAAAAAACAUCAGCUGCAGAACCAUCAGAAAAUUAUUCCUACGACCACAACUGGUCAGAGAGAUAGACAGUAGCUUUGUGGUCAGGUGACUUACGGCUGUGCAUGCAUGAACACAUCUCAUGAACACCAGCAGCUAGCUGAAUACAGCAGCCCUACAGGCCUCCUGUCUCCACCAAACAAUGUACCCCUUUAAGGAGCCAGCUAAAACAGAGAAAGGUGUGCCCCAGAAAGUACUGUCACAGUGUAUCAGCUCUGCAGGAUCACUCCAUUCACAAAUUCAUUUUCAUACUCACAAACUAGGGCUUUCUUGGUCAUUUUGUAGAGGAAGAGAGCUAUGGUGUUCACAAAGAGUAUUCUUCUCCCACCUGCUUGUGGGUUGCUCAGCUAAAUGGAAAAAAAUAAACACCUUGGACUGUUCACAUUUUGUUCCUAUCUCCAGCAGUGCCCUGUCACAACCUUAAAAACACUUGUCUUUUUAUUUAUAGAAAUACCAAAGCCUGCGUUUUAAUGCAAGUCAACUGAAUUAUAAAAAUUACAAUCAGAAACAAUAUCAAGAAGCCAAAUUUAAAAAUAAAAAAAUGCAUUUUUCAGCUCCCAUUCUCUAUUCUUUCGCUACUUCCACUGACAGAGUCAUUCAAGGCACACAAAAGCUGCAUUUUUAGUAUGAGAAAAAAAAUCUGAGCAUUUGGGGCCUUUUUUAAAGGAAAUAAAGUAGCAAGAAAAGAAAUCUUUGGAGGCCAUGUGAGGAGGUAUAAAGCAUUAUGUCAAGAACAGAGCUGGGUGUCUGAUGCUCUUGCUUGUCCCUCCCUCUUCUGGCUGGGGCCACUGGACUCAAAGUAGAUAGGGGAGGAGCUGGAGGCCCAGCCAGACACAAUGACUGAGUUAGAAAUAAUCCUCAGGGCAAACCCUAAGCAUGGUGGCUAGGCACAGCUCAAACCCGUGGGGCUGGCACUAAAGCUCUGCCAUCAUGGAGUUCAUUGGGAGGUGCUUGUGUCCUGCACCUCACUGCCCUGCACAGGGCUGUGUGAUGGUCACUGGUGUCUGGUGGUUGCCUCAGCCCUUGGCAGCCAUCUCAAGACCAACAGUGGCCAUCUCAAGCCUGGCGGUCACCACAGAUCUGCAGUCACCAUUAGUGCCUGGUGGUGAUCACAGCUCUGAGGCCGUUUCAGCCUGGCAGCGGCCGACACAAUCCCAGUGGCGACUUCAAGGCCAGUGCCUGCCACUGCUCCAAAAAACCUCAGCCUGCUCUACAAAAUCUCAAGCCCACAGACAGUCGUGUACGCACAAUACCUGUUUGAGGCACCACAGAGAAUGAAGCCACAGACAAAUGUGAUCAGAACUGCUGAAACUUUGAAACUGCUAGCACUGGGCGCCAGAGCUCAAUGCAUCGAAACGCUCAGAUAAAGAGAUCAGAUCAAAAUGUAUGUGGAAAAAUACCAGGACUGCCAGGCUUUUGAAUUCAAUAACCAAUUCUGCUGCAUGAAUUUAGGAACACAUUUUUUGUUCCCACAACUUGCUUCAAGCAACUUCUUCUUCCCUAAGUGCUGACUGAACCAAUUAUCAAGAGUGUCACAAGAAUGGAGAAAAAUAUUCUAUUACCAAAGACCAUGCAGCUUUGCAAUGACCAGAAAAAAGGCUGGUGGGAGCAACAAUCCAAGAUCCAUCCCCA